CCAUUGAUGCCUGUGUUUAAUUAGGGUCCUUUUCCAUGUUUUUUUUCAGACCAAGCCGUUGAUGGCGGUGUUUGGUUUAGGUGCUUUCCUUUCUGUUACAUAUCCAGUGUUUUGUCUUCUCACCAGCCCAGACAUUAAACUUUGGAAACGACAGAAACGUCCACGAUAUGAAGAUGUUGAUAUCACAAAAAGUAAAACGAUCUAUACGGUGACACCUUUAGUUCAGAGAACUGGACCUGUACAUGAAAUUUA